UACGGAGGGUGCGAGCGUUGUUCGGAAUUACUGGGCGUAAAGCGCGCGUAGGCGGCUUUGUAAGUUAGAGGUGAAAGCCCGGAGCUCAACUCCGGAACUGCCUUUAAAACUGCAUCGCUUGAAUCCAGGAGAGGUGAGUGGAAUUCCGAGUGUAGAGGUGAAAUUCGUAGAUAUCGGGAGGAACACCAGUGGCGAAGGCGACUUCCUGGCCUGUUCUUGACGCUGAGGCGCGAAAGCUAGGGGAGCAAACGGG
rnacentral:rRNA from 1 species